rnacentral:tRNA from 1 species
GCGCCCGUAGCUCAGUUGGAUAGAGUACCGCCCUUCGAAGGCAGCGGUCGCAGGUUCGAAUCCUCUCGGGCGCACAA